CAAUAGCGUAUAUUAAAGCUGUCGCGGUUAAAAAGCUCGUAGUUGGAUUUCUGUCAAGGACAACUGGUCCGCCCUCCGGGUGAGCACAUAGUUUGGUCUUGACAUCUUGCUGGAAGCUGUUGCUGCACUUGGCUGUGUGGCGCAGUGUUCAGCACUUUCACUUUGAGGAAAUUGGAGUGUUUCAAGCAGGCACAUGCCUUUGGACACAGUAGCAUGGAAUAAUUAGAUUGGGCUUUUGCUCCAAUUUGUCGGUUUCUGGAGCUGAGGUGAGUAUUAAUGGGGAUUGUUGGGGGCAUCCGAAUUUAGCCGUCAGAGGUGAAAUUCUUGGAUCUGCUAAAGACGGACAACUGCGAAAGCGUUUGCCCAGGAUGUUUUCAUUGA
rnacentral:rRNA from 1 species